GACGAACGCUGGCGGCGUGCUUAACACAUGCAAGUCGAACGGAAAGGCCCUGCUUUUGUGGGGUGCUCGAGUGGCGAACGGGUGAGUAACACGUGAGUAACCUGCCCUUGACUUUGGGAUAACUUCAGGAAACUGGGGAUAAUACCCGAUAGGAGCUCCUGCUGCAUGGGGUGGGUUGGAAAGAUUCGGCGGUUGGGGAUGGUCUCGCGGCUUAUCAGCUUGUUGGUGGGGUAGUUGCUUACCACGGCUUUGACGGGUAGCCGGCCUGGGAGGUGUACCGGCCACCUUGGGCCUGCGAUACGGCGCAGACUGCUACGGGCGGCAGCAGUGGGAAACAUUGCGCAACGGGCGCAAGCCUGAUGCAGCAACCCCGCGUGCGGGAUGCCGGCUUUCGGGUUGUAAACCGCUUUCGCCUGUGACGAAGAGUGAGUGACGGUAAUGGGUCAAGAAGCCCCGGCUAACUACGUG
rnacentral:rRNA from 1 species